CACCUCCUCUCCCAGUUCAGUCCAGUGUUCCAUACUGGGUUUGUGUGCAGGCUGAGGAGGCAGAUCAAAGCAGUGCUGUUACCCAUUCCACCCUCAGCUUCAGCGCGGCUGUGUGGUGGAAGAAGUCCCUGCUACAGAU
ensembl:snoRNA